GACGAACGCUGGCGGCGUGCUUAACACAUGCAAGUCGAACGGCAAGGCCCUGCUUUUGUGGGGUGCUCGAGUGGCGAACGGGUGAGUAACACGUGAGUAACCUGCUCUUGACUUUGGGAUAACUUCAGGAAACUGGGGCUAAUACCGGAUCGGAGCUCCUGCUGCAUGGUGGGGGUUGGAAAGUUUCGGCGGUUGGGGAUGGACUCGCGGCUUAUCGGCUUGUUGGUGGGGUAGUGGCUUACCAAGGCUUUGACGGGUAGCCGGCCUGGGUGGGUGACCGGGCACAAUGGGACUGCGGUACGGCCCAGAGUCCUACAGGGGGCAGCAGUGGGAAAUAUUGCACAAUGGGCGGAAGCCUGAUGCAGCGGCGCCGCGUGUGGGAUGACGGCCUUCGGGUUGUAAACCGCAUUCGCCUGUGACGAAGCGUGAGUGACGGUAAUGAGUAAAGAAGCACCGGCUAACUACGUG
rnacentral:rRNA from 1 species